GAUAACGCUUGCCAUUGUUUAUAUCACGUACCACAGCCGCGGCACAGAGUUACUUAAUACUUAGUUACUUCGAGGCUACUUUGAUUACUUACCUACUUACUUCUAUAGAAAGUAUAGAAUACUGUGGAAUACUGUCAUGAACUGCGACGGUUAAGUAAUAAAGAUAUAUAGUAUAUAAGUAUAUUUUUAAUUUCAUUGUGAUACCUCAAUACCUGUAGUAUGUUGUACUAGCCUAUACGCUGUGGUUUGAAGUUGAAAGUUGAAACAGUUCAAUAAGUACAACAACCUAGAAUAAGCCAAUCAAUGAUGUUAGACGAGGUGGCCAUCAAUUAUUCUGAGUAUCUACCUACUUAAAGCUCAACAAUAAGAAAGAGGUUGGCGUACUGAAAGGUGUCGUUGAAUAUGUAUUUGAAUAUGCUCACCAGACUGGAAGAGUUUCAGACAUUGAAAGUGAAAGUGGUAGGUAACAAAAUACCAAGGGUGUCCAUCUUUGAAAAUCCAGGAGGAGGAUACUGUAUUUUUUCAAUAAUUUUGAGCAGGGAGUUUAAUUUCUAAUAAAAUGUAAAAUAUAUAACAUAAAUAAUGCACUUUAAUAUUUAAUUGA